GACGUAGGGCGCGAGCGUUGUCCGGAUUUAUUGGGCGUAAAGAGCUCGUAGGCGGUUUGUCGCGUCGUUCGUGAAAACUCACAGCUCAACUGUGAGCUUGCGGUCGAUACGGGCAGGCUAGAGUUCGGUAGGGGAGACUGGAAUUCCUGGUGUAGCGGUGAAAUGCGCAGAUAUCAGGAGGAACACCGGUGGCGAAGGCGGGUCUCUGGGCCGUAACUGACGCUGAGGAGCGAAAGCGUGGGGAGCGAACAGG
rnacentral:rRNA from 1 species